rnacentral:tRNA from 1 species
GGUGCUGUGGUGGAGCAGGUUAACACCCUGGCCUGAAGCGCCAGCAUCCCAUAUGGGGGCUGGUUCAAUACUCAGCUGCUCCA